AGUUUCAUAUGCAAAGCAUGCAUCAGCCACAUCCAUGCUAUCUCCUAAAGCAGUCAUUCUGAAACCCAAUCUGGGGACAGUGCAGACUAAAUAAAAUUUCAUUUUGAUUUGGCCUCCCGCUGCGAAUGGGACUGCUUUGUCUCAGCCGACAGAACCAGCAAGCCAGAAAGAUUGAAGAACAAAAUGAAAGUUAGUUAAAGAAGACGUUGAAGAAACAAUAGUGUGAAAACAGCACGAAAUGUCAUUUGGUAAAUAUGCCACAGCCUCACAUAAGGAAGAGGAAAAUGGCAGUGUGGGCCAUGAUUGGCAGGUCUGGAUCCAUAGACUGUGAUUUCCAGGAUCACCCAACAGGAAUGAAGACAUUUGGAGAAGAAGCGUUUACUGAAAGGAGAUUCCUGGGCUGGAGGAAAACCAUGAUCUACAGUUCAUGUUGACAGAUAUUGUAUUUUUGGUCCUAGAUCUGACUUUUGAAAUGACUUAUCACAAAUUCAAAUUUAGCAAUCAUGAGUGAAGUACCCACGAUGUGCUAAGCAUCUACCUCUGCAGAUAGAAGAACACUUACUGUUCCUGAGCAUGGGAGGGAAUAGAAGUUCCUGGGUCCUGGCCUCACCUCAUCAGGCACUGCCAAAUUUGACACCUCCUUCCUGUUCACGGCAGUCCUUUGCGAUAGGGUAUUAGAUGCCACCAAGUAGCUGCAUAACUCACCCAUUUGGUCAGAGCCUGGGUCUAAGCCAGGUCUGACAGACUCCAAAGCAAGCCCUGUUUACAGCAUGACUGGGAUCCAGUGGACGAGGGAACUGAGCUGUCAAAACUAAGUGACUUGAUUGAGGCCAUGCAGCUGGCGAGGGGAGGACCAGGAUCUGAACCCAACUGGGUCUCCCAAGCCUGGGCCACUGAACCAUUUCACCUCUUGGAAAAACUUAAUGGUCAGAGUGGCCCACCCAGUCCAUGGACAGCAUGGAGUGGUAUGGUGGAAGAGGAGGGAAGAAAACCUGUGUAUUGUAAGUCAUAUUCUUCUAUGGUGUGAAGGUUAACGUAAGUUUUAAGAAAGUUUUUUUUUUUAAUUUUAUUAUAUGAUCUUGCUCUAAAGGGAUGUAAAUUCAGAUGCUGAAUUGCACACAUCCUUUCUCUUUCAUAUUUUCAAUAUUGAACGUAAUUUCAAUAUUUAACAUAAAACAAUGAGUACAUUGUCUCCACCUCAUUGUUUUUGGGUGGUGUUUGUGAGGAGCCUGCGUUCUUUGGAAGGAAGACCUUUCAGAUGACCUGACCAGUCCUCCUCUUCAGAACCCGGAUGCUGGCGAAGCAGUUUGAAUUUUAUGCUUGUGAAAGGGCUCCGUUGAUGAUUUUGAUGUCUGCAGCUUUCCACCCGUAUGACCAGACACAUUCUCACCAGCUCCAUAUAUCAAGAUAAGGAGGGGAAACCUGGUAGCUUUUCCUUCUGUUAACUGCUGGCAUCAGCUGAGUGAUGCAGACAUUUCUCUAUUAAGAACUGAGCUGAGACUGAAGCUUCAUUUUGUAUGAGACUGUGCAGAGGUCGUCUAAAGUCUCUCCCAGGUGUGGUUAUUAAGAUCCUGGAUUUGAAACUGUGACCUACUGGUUUGCCAGAUGCCAAGAACAAAUGCUCUGAAAUUGAUUUGCCAAAAGACAUGAUGAGCUGCUCUAACUUGCCUGGGAAGAGUGGAAUAUUUAACCUGUGGGUGAGACUCCCUCUUGCUACCUAUCAGCUUUGCCACUGCUCUGAUAGAGAAACAUCUUGGGAGCAGAGUUGGUAAGAGUGAAUCAGACGUAUCUGCCGGAAUAGGACUCGUGGCACCUGCUUGUUCGAUCCCUCAUUUCCACCCCCUCUAUCCUUUGCCUAUUGUCAGUCAUUGUGGUUGGUCCAUUCAGAAGAAUCGUGAAUAUUCAUAGCCACCCUAAUUUACCAAUAUAUAUUCAAUAAUGUCAGAGAUCUGUACAUGUGAUUCCUG
rnacentral:lncRNA from 1 species